CUGGCUCGGGACGAACGGCUGGCGGCGUGCCUAAUACAUGCAAGUCGAACGGUCUUUCUAUGGAAGCUUGCUUCCACUGAGAAGAUAGUGGCGAACGGGUGAGUAACACGUGGGUAACCUGCCCAUAAGAGGGGGAUAACAUCCGGAAACGGGUGCUAAUACCGCAUAGUUUUCUUGAUCGCAUGAUCGGGAAAGGAAAGACGGCCUUUGUGCUGUCGCUUAUGGAUGGACCCGCGGCGUAUUAGUUAGUUGGUGAGGUAAUGGCUCACCAAGACGAUGAUACGUAGCCGACCUGAGAGGGUGAUCGGCCACAUUGGGACUGAGACACGGCCCAAACUCCUACGGGAGGCAGCAGUAGGGAAUCUUCCGCAAUGGACGAAAGUCUGACGGAGCAACGCCGCGUGAGUGAAGAAAGGUUUUCGGAUCGUAAAACUCUGUUGUCAGAGAAGAACAAGUUGGAGAGUAACUGCUCCAGCCUUGACGGUAUCUGACCAGAAAGCCACGGCUAACUACGUGCCAGCCGCAGC
rnacentral:rRNA from 1 species